AUGUGCCCAGCCCUGGAGGGCCCUUUAUGGCCUUCAGCUGUCUUGCUCUGGAUUGUGCUUUCUGGAGAGGUUGCUUCUGCUUCUGCCAAGCGUGUGUGCACCACCAGCCGGGCAGACCUGAUGCUGGGGUGCCGCUGGACACUGCAGAGCCCCGGUGCAAUGGGAGCUGGGCUUCGGUCUGUGGGAUGUGGCCCUCAUAGCCCCUCCCUGUACGUUUCCCCUGCUUUGCCCAUCAUCAGGGUUGCUUUCCUUGGAGACCCUGGGCCUGAUGCUGGGAGAGGUUCACGUUUGGUUGACCUCUUGUGGUCCUCAGCUGGUCCUGGCUUCUGUCCUUUGUGCCUACUCAACCUUGAGUUUCUACAGAUGCCCGUGGGGUGGACACAGCCGGCCCCUUCAUGUGGUGGGCAAGGCAGUCUUGAUUCGCUCAAUCCCCACAGUUGCCCUGGAGGAAGAGAGAAAGGAGGAGUAUGCGCAGGGACUCGAGCGCCGGCCCAGGCCCUGGACGCCAGGCCCCCUCCCAGCUCUGCUCGGAUGCUUCACGGGGCCUGGGCCGCUGCCUGGAGAACAAGGAAACGCAUUUGAGACACUUCCAUCAAAAAUGGUGACAGCUGUUUCCUGUGUGACCCCUUUCUGCACUGGGGUCAGUGCCUGAUGGAUGGUGGGGUAGGCUGGGAGUCAUGCCAGUCACUGUGGCGGCCCCACCCCAGCCGCGACCACCACGUCACUCGUCCUGCGUGAGUUCAUCUUCUGGGACCACAGUCCAGUAGGUGAUCUGUAGGUAACAAAAAUAUGAUGUGGUGUGUGAUUGGAUGAUAUUUUCACUUCAAAGUUUUAUAUUAAUUCUUAACUUUUGAUAGAUAACCUUACGGAACGUUUUAAAGUUGUAAUGUUACUGAUGGGAGUGUAGAGAUUACAUUGGCUAUGUUGAGGGAAUGUGGGUCUGAUCGCAGCUGGUGGGUCGCAGGCUCUGGUGACAGGUGUCCAGGAUGGAAGAAGUCGGUGGCUGUUUUGUUUAGCUGCCUAGUUCGAGUAAGUUCAGGAACCAUCGGUCCUUGCUGUCCCUCUUCAUCACCCUCUGUCCCCGCUUGGUUUCUGGUGCCGUCCUGGCCUCCGCUGGGUUUUCAGCGACUCUCCCUUACUACACCCAGCAGAAGCACGUGAUGUCAACUAAAUAUUGGAUGCUCUCAUUUUGUCCCUUUAAGUUACAGAAAAGUCCCUUAAAUUUGUGUUUAACUUGUGUUCUUUAAUUCUUGCUUUCACUCUCCUUGUACUACUUGGCUUUUGUGUCCUACUCCGUGUAGAAGCGUUUUGUUUUCUGUGUUUGUUCCUUUUACGGCCUGCUCUGGGUUGGGUUUAGGAGAGAGCGAGCCAAGAACCUCGUUCCUCACCUGUGUCCCCUGGGUGUGCCAGUCUGGCUUGAGAGAGGGGGCUUCUUGAAGUUUAUGAAGAUAGAAUUAAAAGGUACAUUUUUGUAAACAUUUUAAAAUCUGUGCACGUGAGGGAUUUUCAUAACGUUUAUGAAAAACUUACGGAUUUCAGAAAACUUUUCAUCAAAAUGAGCUUUUAACCUUUCAUUCCAUUU
ensembl:lncRNA